rnacentral:lncRNA from 1 species
AUCAAAUAGCUAAAUACAGAGCUCCGCUGGGCCAGCUUGGCCUGCAGUGACGUCAGCGAGCAGCUUUGGGGAGACUCACCGAGCGAGCGGGUCCCCGGCCCUCCAAAGUCCAGCGGGCCUCGGGUUCCACUGUCCAGAUCUCUGCCUCGGUUCCUGCGGCGCGUCUCUGGCUCGCCCUAGAGCCGUCGGAGUAAAGGAGGUUCAGUAAGGGUUGGAGCCUCCAUUUUGAGGAGGGGGUUCAUGUGGAAGCGUGGAGAACUUGGGGCCUCUGUCCCGACGGGUACAACACCACCAGGCCACUCUCUUGAGUCCACAGCGGGGCUUCUCCCACUUGUCCACACCCCUGCACUGGAGGAGGCCUCGUGCGGCCACACAACCUCUACUAAAGGUUUGAAAACCUGACACCCGUUGUAAUGAUUUCUGCCGGGUGGAUCCAGCUCUCAGCCGCGCGAUAGAGCCCUUCAGAAAUAAAAUCAACUGUGGCAAGGCCCUGGCGGCUUUCACCGAGGAAUUUUUCUGUACCAGCGUCUUUUUUUCUUUAAAAUAAAAUUUAAAAUAGCAAGUAUCUCUCAGGCAUUCGUCGGUGCUGGCUAGAUGCGUGAGGAUUGAGUGGAUAUUUUCAUAAAGAAGGCAACUGGCUCUUAUUUACC